UACGGUCUGCGACGUUUUCUUCUGUUAUACCAUACGUAGUAUUUGUUUGGAUAUAAAUGACAACUGCAUAUAAAUUACAUUGAUUAUUAAUAUUAGCAUUUUAUUUUGCUUUGCUUUUUAUGGAACACAGGCUAAAACUACUCAGAUGUGAUAAAAUAUCUGCAGGUGUAACACUGCAAAACGAUAUUCGACUUUAUCUGGGACGUCCAAUCGCAUAAGGCUCCUGUAUAAUGGUACAGUACAUAUUUUACUUAUAAUACCCAUAAUACUUGAUAUCGAUAACAAACAUAUGAGUUACGCAAUUAUGCAUUUAACUCACUGUACUUUUGUGCGCUCUGUCUUAUGUAAAGUAUAUUGCUUAUUUAGGCAGUACUGGUACAGUAUGGGUGCAGUAUACCAUGUAUCUUUGUAUACAAUGUAUAUGAUAUUCGCAUAGCGUUCAAGUCGCCUUGCCUAGGCAGGGUAUUGCCUAGAAUUGGACACCAACCAAUCACGAGGCACACUGGAAGAACAUGGAAGCUCAGCACACAUAGAGCUAGGGUGGAGACUCAAAGGGUGGAGACUCAAAGGGUGGAGAUUCAAAGCCCAGUCCAAAAGGGGCGGCCCUCAGGUCAUUGAGGUUCUGGGGUACAGAGUUACGAGCCUCGGCACGGAUACUCAGCAGAUUCCAUACGGUUUCUAUGGAAUUCAGGUCUGGAGAAAAUGCAGGCCACUCCAAUCGAGGUACCCCAUUCUCCAGCAGCCUUUUCCUAAUGAUGCGACCUCAGAAUUCAAGAUGCUUCGGCCCUUUAUCAACGGAAUUGAAAACUGCCAUUGUAAACUGCUUAUUAGCAUUUACGUCUUAUUUGUAUUUCAUUAAAUCAGUUGUGCACACAGUACUGUCCAACCUCUAUGUAUGGACAUGUCGCUAUGGUGUUUGCGCAAAAUAUUGCAUAAUGCAUUAUCAACUGAUAUUGCUAACAAUUGCUAACAACUGGGGCCUGUUUAGGAAAGGAUCCUAAUCCUGGCUUUCGAAGCAGGUCCUUAGUAUUGCUAAAAGGCUUUCUGAUUUGCUGUACUGGAACACAGUUAACUCGGGUGUGACGUCAUUUCCAGUUCUGACUUACAGCCUCCGAGGUAAAUAUGAAGUAGCAUUACUCAUUUAUCCACCCAGCUUUGUGGGGGGGCCAGGUCAUCCGUCACAACACCCCAUCUCUUUGCUUGUUCACACUUAAUGCAUGACAUUGAGGUGCACUAAGGGUUGUUGUCACAAGUGAUUUUCACCAAGCGUGUCCAGACUUUUGAUUGGUACUUUACAUGGGUGGGAACAGAUAGGAACAGAUAUACAGUAUAUAUAAAUAAACACAUACAUAGUGGUUGCACAUGUAUAAAAGGUGACUCGCAGUGCUGCACAGACAGGAAUAAGUGAAACUGCCAGAUACAAGUACCUACUGCUGAGUGUCAGGGGUGACGUAAUUGUGCAAAGACAGGCAAGGAGAUGUAGUGACAUAUUAAUUGUUCAGUGUCCUGAAGGUGUACUUGAAAUGGGGGUUUUUUUGUCAGCAUGGAUCAGAGUCGUCUGCCAAAGGCGAGCAGCUUAACAGGUAAUGUGCAAGUUGGGAGGAGUCCAGGAUUCUUGUUGGCACAUAUAGUGGUGCAGUGCAUGUAGAUGGAGUUGAAGGAAGUGAAGUCAUUGCCAGUAAUCUUAGAGGAUUUGGAAAUAAUACACUCAGUUUAUAACCUGGUCUGUUGUACAGGCUACCAUGCUAGGCCAGAUGAGGUUAGCAUGCUUCUGUUGAUGGUUAUGUUGAAUUACAGUGUCUUACUUUCCUGAAUAUAUGAUCAAUGCUACUACGUCAUUUCACAGGGCUGCAAAUAUAUGUUCAAAGGAGUUUGAGUGAGUUUAUAAUGUAACGGAUAUUUGCUAGCCAUUGAUGUUGAUGGAGGAUUCAGUUUAUUCAUGAAGUUGACAAUGUUCUUUGGCUGUGUUGAGUAGGUCAUUAAUAGAUCCCUAGGUAACUGUACUGUCUGCUUCCAAUCUACUACGAUUCAUUGUUAAGAUAAGACCAGUGAUGGUGGUCGUAUCUUCGUGUGCAUGAAGAUACAUUGAUGGACAAAAGCAUUGUGACACCAGGCCAUUGCACCUACAGGAACUGAUAUGACAUCCCAUUGUAAAUCCAAAGGCAUCAAUGUGGAGCUGGUCCCCCCCUUGCAGCUGUGAGAGCUGGCACUCUUCUGGGAAGGCUUUCCACAUGUUUUUGGAGUGUUUGUGGGAAUUUUGCCCAUUCAUCCGGAAGAGCAUUUGUGAGGUCAAGCACUGAUGUUGGACAUGAAGGCUUGGCUCACAAUUUGCAUUCUAGGUCAUCCCAAAGGUAUUUGAUGGGAUGAGGUUAGGACUCCAUGCGGGCAAGUCAAGAUCUUCCACACCAAACUCACCCAACCAAGUCUUUACGGGCCUUGCGUUGUGCACUGGGGCAGUUAUGCUGGAACAGAAAAGGGCCUUCCCCAAACUGUUCCCACAAUGCAAUAUUGUCUUGGCAUACAUAUACAAAAUGUUAUGUCAUAAAAGUACCUGUGAGUGCAAUGGCCAGGGGUGCCAAUUAUUUGGUCCCUAGUCUCUCUAUGAACGCCAGAUAGAUGGGAGGAGUAGGCCUUCGGAAUAUCAAGGCAUGUGUAAAGGUCGAGUUCAACAGGAAGGUCCAGGAUGCCAGCAGAUGGAUGCAGGCAGUCGUUUUGUAUUUGUUAAUCUCCUAGGGUCACCUUCAGCAUGUAAGCACUUAAUUCUUAACCUACGCACAAACAUAUUGUUGUAUAAGCUUUCAUGGCAACAUAAGCCAUUAGGUGAAGGUUGUCCAGAGAACAAGGGAACGAUUUGCAUGCACUUGGAAGUAACAUCUAACUUGUAAAGCAUUGUAAAGUAGAUGUUAGAUCAGCAGUCCAUAAUUUAUUCUGUAGUUACUCAUCUAGAUCACUUACAGAAAUGUACAACUGCAGUACAGUUCUUAAAUAUUACAAUUACCAAGUACUGCAUCCAAGUGCGAAACGGCCAAAGAAGUAGGCAGAGUAUGAAAACCUGCAGACCAUUUUUAUUAAUAAAUUGUUCAAUUAUCUGUACAGAACAAAACCAAAAAAUGUUUAAGAAACAAAAAUGCACAAUGUUAAUCUGUUACAUCUCAGUAAUACAUGGUAUAAUUGGAGAGCAAAGAAUAGCACAUCCAUGACUGUACACAAAAAAAAAAAAUUACAAAACUGUUCAUCAUCAUCAUCAUCAUCAUCAUCAUCUUCAUUAUAAUAAUUUCAAAUUUAACUUGAGGAAGUCUCACUUUAAAACGGACAAAGACAGUAACUACUGAUUUGUAGAAGGACGAUGGAAUUGGAAGCUGUCUGUACAACGAGUAGAGGGGGCAAACUGGUCAGUAGUGAUUUUCCACUUUGGCUCCUGGUGUCAUGUUGUCCUCUCCCCUCUGGAACAAUUACACACACCCCCCAGUUAUAGCUUGGGGUGGGAGGGGGCACAGCCCACAGAAUCUGCACUCCUCCCUAUUGAACAGGAGCAUGUAGGAUGAGACUAGAGACCCAUCAUUACAUGCAACAGGGAAGGAAAACUCAGUCUGUGUGCCAGCAUCCGGAAACCAAAAGGACCAGGAGGGAGUGGGCAGGAGAACUGGGGGGGGGGUGGUUCAAUGCUUUCUAGCUGGUCAGCAAGACAAAACGUCUUCGUCACCUUUGGAUGGAGUGCAGAGGGUAUUUUUUUUGGUAAGGGCCUCCUGAAUGGUAUUGUGCCACUGAUUAGGUACAGAACAAGUACAAGACUUCCUGAAUGAACGUACAUCAAGCACCCCUCCCCCCCAGGAGGAGGGACCUUCGUUCCCUGCCCACCUAGAAGCAGGUAGAGACUUCAUAGCUAUAAAGCAGCUUUACAAGCUACAAUUAAUGCAAACCAGACAGUUAAUGCUUCCCAAAGCACAGCUCCGCUGGAUCACAGGCGCCUUUGCGGUUUGAAGAAGCCCCCUUUUGCAAGCCUUAAAUUCUCAUAGAACCCUAGACAUUAUUUCCCCUAAAUAUAACGGGACCCUUCACACAUACAACUCAGCAAAACAAUGCCUCUGUGCACUUGCGUACACUGGCAAUCUUUCCAUUGUUUAUUGAUAGAUUCCAGUUAUUUCACAAAGUACAACUGGAGCAUGUAUCAUCACACCCAAAUUCACUUUAUAUAGAAAAGCCCAAAUCUCCCCCCAAAAAAAACCUGUAGAUCACCAUGUAAGGCUUGCACAGCAUGGAUUAGGAGGGGCCAGUCCAAGUAACAGUCAAAUAUACACUUCAGUGGUGGUGAGGCCCAAGUGAUACAAUUGCUCAGGUAGGCUUACAAGGACAGAUUUCCAGUACCGUCAUGGGAAUGCAAAAGGAAUUGUGUACAUCCAAAUUCCCAUUAGGAUCAUUGAGCAUAAGAUGUCAUAGGGAUAGGGGAGGGGUAGCGAUCAAAUAGAUAAGAGCAGUGACCAUGGGGGGGGGGGGGGGGGGGGGGGG